rnacentral:rRNA from 1 species
GACGAACGCUGGCGGCGUGCCUAAUACAUGCAAGUCGCACGCAGUGGGGACGGGUGAGUAACACGUGGGUAACCUCCCAUCAGAGGGGAUAACACUUGGAAACAGGUGCUAAACCGAUACUGAUGGAUGGACCCGCGGUGCAUUAGCUAGUUGGUGAGGUAACGGCUCACCAAGGCCACGAUGAAUAGCCGACCUGAGAGGGUGCUCGGCCACACUGGGACUGAGACACGGCCCAGACUCCUACGGGAGGCAGCAGUAGGGAAUAUUGCGCAAUGGGCGCAAGCCUGAUGCAGCCAUGCCGCGUGUAUGAAGAAGGUCUUCGGGUUGUAAAGUACUUUCAGCGGGGAGGCGUUACCCGCACAAGAAGCACCGGCUAACUCCGUGCCAGCAGCCGCGGUAAUAC